rnacentral:rRNA from 1 species
GAUGAACGCUGGCGGCGUGCCUAAUACAUGCAAGUCGAGCGAAUGGAUUAAGAGCUUGCUCUUAUGAAGUUAGCGGCGGACGGGUGAGUAACACGUGGGUAACCUGCCCAUAAGACUGGGAUAACUCCGGGAAACCGGGGCUAAUACCGGAUAACAUUUUGAACCGCAUGGUUCGAAAUUGAAAGGCGGCUUCGGCUGUCACUUCUGGAUGGACCCGCGUCGCAUUAGCUAGUUGGUGAGGUAACGGCUAACCAAGGCAACGAUGCGUAGCCGACCUGAGAGGGUGAUCGGCCACACUGGGACUGAGACACGGCCCAGACUCCUACGGGAGGCAGCAGUAGGGAAUCUUCCGCAAUGGACGAAAGUCUGACGGAGCAACGCCGCGUGAGUGAUGAAGGCUUUCGGGUCGUAAAACUCUGUUGUUAGGGAAGAACAAGUGCUAGUUGAAUAAGCUGGCACCUUGACGGCACCUAACCAGAAAGCCACGGCUAACUACGUGCCAGCCGCCGCGGUAA